GGGGCAUUUCGAGGGCGGCUGGCCCGGCGAUCGCCGCGGGCAGCCUCAGGGAGGCCCCCGGCUCCAGUGAAGCCGAGGCUGCGGCGUCGGAGACAGGCGCGAUGAAGCCCAGACCCGCCAGGUUCGUGGAUAAUAAGCUGAAGCAACGUGUCAUCCAGUACCUCACCAGUAACAGAUGUGGCAAAUAUGUGGACACUGGAGUUUUAGCAUCUGAUUUACAAAGAAUGUACAGUAUAGACUAUGGUCGAAGAAAAAGAAAUGCUUUUAGGAUUCAGGUAGAAAAAGUAUUUAGCAUAAUUAGUAGUGAAAAAGGACUUCAGGACCUAGCAGAAUUAGAAGAUGAACACCUGGCCAAAAGAGCAAGACACAAUGAAGAGGAUAAUGAGUAUACUGAAAGCUAUUCUGAUGAUGAUUCAAAUGCAGAAGAAUACCCAGAUCCACAGUCAGCAAAUCAUAUGAACAGCUCCCUGCUCUCCUUAUAUCGUAAAGGAAAUCCUGAUUCUGUUUCAAGUACUCCUGAGAUGGAGCAAAGAGAAACCGCCGUUUCAACAGAACGGAUAACUUCCAAAACAGGCUCCAUUCCUUUGAAGACCUCUGCCAGAAGUUCUGAAGGAGGAUGGUUUAUUGACAAAACCCCAGGUGGAAAGAAAGACAGUUUUUUCUCGGACCUAUCAGAUGAGAAAAGUAAUCAUAAGAAGCCAAUAUCUGAAAUAGAGGACUCAAAAGAUUCUCUUCUGGAGAGUAAUAAAAAAAGAAAAGGCAGGCGAAAUAGCAAAGGAAGCAAAAGGAAGAAAGAAGAUCUUCAGGAGGUAGAUGGAGAAAUAGAAGCUAUCCUGGAAAAAAAAGCCAAAGCCAGGGGCCUAGACCUGCAAAUCUCCAACGUGAAGUUUGAAGAUGUCGGAGGCAAUGAUGCAACAUUAAAAGAGGUCUGCAAGAUGCUCAUACACAUGCGUCACCCAGAGGUGUACCACCACCUGGGCGUCAUACCCCCUCGCGGAGUUCUCCUUCAUGGACCACCAGGCUGUGGGAAGACAUUACUUGCACAUGCGAUUGCUGGGGAGCUUGACCUUCCAAUUCUGAAAGUAGCUGCUACAGAGAUUGUAUCUGGGGUGUCUGGAGAAUCUGAACAGAAGCUGAGAGAACUAUUUGAACAGGCUGUGUCAAAUGCACCCUGUAUCCUUUUUAUUGAUGAAAUUGAUGCUAUUACCCCCAAAAGAGAAGUUGCUUCAAAAGAUAUGGAACGAAGAAUUGUGGCCCAGCUCCUUACCUGCAUGGAUGAUCUGAAUAACGUGGCUGCUACAGCUCGGGUCCUAGUCAUUGGAGCUACUAACCGACCAGACUCACUUGACCCUGCUUUGAGACGUGCAGGAAGGUUCGACCGAGAAAUAUGCCUAGGUAUCCCAGAUGAAGCAUCCAGGGAAAGAAUACUUCAAACUUUGUGCAGAAAACUAAGACUUCCUGAAACUUUGCAUUUUCGUCAGUUAGCACACCUGACGCCGGGCUUUGUUGGCGCUGACCUGAUGGCACUCUGCCGAGAGGCAGCCAUGUGCGCAGUCAACAGGGUCUUAAUGAAGCUGCAGGAGCAGCAGAAGACAAAUCCUGAGCUUGAAGGUUUGCCAUCUGAAGGAGGCCAGGAGGAAAGGAUUGGAAGCGAACCCACUUCUGAAACACGGGUGCUUUCUGUACAGGAUGAAUUGCAAAGACUGCUGGGGUUGCUAAGGAACCAGGAUCCCCUCUCAGAGGAGCAGCUGCAAGGGCUGUGCAUUGAAUUGAAUGAUUUCAUUGUUGCUCUAUCCUCAGUCCAACCGUCUGCUAAAAGGGAAGGCUUUGUCACUGUCCCUAAUGUGACAUGGGCAGAUAUUGGGGCCCUGGAAGAUAUUAGAGAGGAACUCACCAUGGCAAUAUUGGCACCAGUACGUAACCCAGAUCAGUUCAAAGCUCUUGGAUUGGUGACUCCAGCUGGAGUCCUCCUUGCUGGUCCUCCUGGCUGUGGGAAAACCCUGCUGGCAAAGGCUGUUGCAAAUGAGUCUGGGCUGAAUUUUAUAUCUGUCAAGGGACCUGAAUUACUAAAUAUGUACGUUGGUGAGAGUGAGCGUGCUGUGCGACAGGUUUUUCAGCGAGCCAAGAACUCAGCACCCUGUGUGAUAUUCUUUGAUGAAGUGGAUGCCUUAUGCCCUCGGAGAUCAGUCCGAGAGACAGGAGCAAGUGUCCGGGUGGUAAAUCAGCUACUUACAGAGAUGGAUGGUCUGGAAACACGUCAGCAGGUUUUUAUUAUGGCAGCCACUAACAGGCCAGAUAUCAUUGACCCUGCAAUCCUGCGCCCAGGCCGCCUAGACAAAACGCUCUUUGUGGGUUUGCCACCCCCAGCAGAUCGUCUUGCCAUUUUAAAAACUAUCACAAAAAAUGGCACUAAACCCCCGCUGGAUGCGGAUGUAAAUUUGGAAGCAGUUGCUGGUGACCUUCGCUGUGACUGCUACUCGGGUGCAGAUCUCUCUGCUUUGGUACGGGAGGCUUCUAUCUGUGCCCUGAAGCAGGAAAUGGCAAGACAGAAGAGUGGAAACGGGAAAGACCAACCAUGCCAGUACAGGAAUAGCCUCACUUGUCUUGGUACCUGAGACAGUUGUCUGAUCAGCUGCACUGUGUGGCCACCUUCCUCACAGUGCUGUCGAACACCUUCUUCAGCAAGACCCACCUUGUCCUCAAAACCUGUGCUUUCAUCUGAAGUUCAAGUCUCUAUUUGAUCCCCUUUUUUUCAGUGAACUCAAGAUUAGUCAGAAGCACUUUGAAGAAGCUUUCAAGAAAGUAAAACCAUCCAUAUCAAAAGAGGAUCAAGCGAUGUAUGAAGCUCUGCAGUGGUCCCUCAGCAGGUGACUUCUCCAGCAGCAGGCCCUGGAGGAGUCCUGUGCAUUGAGCUGACAGAGAAGCCCACGUGCUCUGAGCUGCCCACUUUCAACCUGACACAGAUGUGGUUUCACGUAAGCAUUUUAUCUUCAAAUUAAUGAGGCCGAUUCAGAGCUGAAGAUUCUUCCCAUCUGACCAGCUGUGUAUGGAAACACUCUACCUCCUGUUUUAAGAAAAAGAAAAUUUUUAUAACUGUCAAAAUAAUAGAAAUAAAAUGAUUUUUUUAAUAAAAUGAUUAUUUUGAAACAGC